rnacentral:rRNA from 1 species
CGUAGNUGAACCUGCGGAAGGAUCAUUAU